rnacentral:rRNA from 1 species
AGGAAUAUUGGUCAAUGGACGAGAGUCUGAACCAGCCAAGUAGCGUGAAGGAUGAAGGUUCUAUGGAUUGUAAACUUCUUUUAUACGGGAAUAAACGGAUCCACGUGUGGAUUUUUGCAUGUACCGUAUGAAUAAGGAUCGGCUAACUCCGUGCCAGCAGCCGCGGUAAUACGGAGGAUCCGAGCGUUAUCCGGAUUUAUUGGGUUUAAAGGGAGCGUAGAUGGGUUGUUAAGUCAGUUGUGAAAGUUUGCGGCUCAACCGUAAAAUUGCAAUUGAUACUGGCAGUCUUGAGUACAGUUGAGGUAGGCGGAAUUCGUGGUGUAGCGGUGAAAUGCUUAGAUAUCACGAAGAACUCCGAUUGCGAAGGCAGCUUACUAACCUGUAACUGACAUUGAUGCUCGAAAGUGUGGGUAUCAAACAGGAUUAGAUACCCUGGUAGUCCACACGGUAAACGAUGAAUACUCGCUGUAGGCGAUAUACAGUCUGCGGCCAAGCGAAAGCAUUAAGUAUUCCACCUGGGGAGUACGCCGGCAACGGUGAAACUCAAAGGAAUUGACGGGGGCCCGCACAAGCGGAGGAACAUGUGGUUUAAUUCGAUGAUACGCGAGGAACCUUACCCGGGCUUAAAUUGCAACCGAAUAUGGCGGAAACGCUAUAGCUAGCAAUAGCGGUUGUGAAGGUGCUGCAUGGUUGUCGUCAGCUCGUGCCGUGAGGUGUCGGCUUAAGUGCCAUAACGAGCGCAACCCUUGCCGAUAGUUACUAACAGGUUAUGCUGAGGACUCUGUCGGGACUGCCAUCGUAAGAUGUGAGGAAGGUGGGGAUGACGUCAAAUCAGCACGGCCCUUACGUCCGGGGCUACACACGUGUUACAAUGGGGGGGUACAGAGGGCUGCUACCACGCAAGUGGAUGCCAAUCCCAAAAACCUCUCUCAGUUCGGAUUGAAGUCUGCAACCCGACUUCAUGAAGCUGGAUUCGCUAGUAAUCGCGCAUCAGCCACGGCGCGGUGAAUACGUUCCCG